GAGUUUGAUCCUGGCUCAGGACGAACGCUGGCGGCGUGCCUAAUACAUGCAAGUAGAACGCUGAAGACUUUAGCUUGCUAAAGUUGGAAGAGUUGCGAACGGGUGAGUAACGCGUAGGUAACCUGCCUAUUAGCGGGGGAUAACUAUUGGAAACGAUAGCUAAUACCGCAUAACAGCAUUUAACCCAUGUUAGAUGCUUGAAAGGAGCAAUUGCUUCACUAGUAGAUGGACCUGCGUUGUAUUAGCUAGUUGGUGAGGUAACGGCUCACCAAGGCGACGAUACAUAGCCGACCUGAGAGGGUGAUCGGCCACACUGGGACUGAGACACGGCCAGACUCCUACGGGAGGCAGCAGUAGGGAAUCUUCGGCAAUGGGGGCAACCCUGACCGAGCAACGCCGCGUGAGUGAAGAAGGUUUUCGGAUCGUAAAGCUCUGUUGUAAGAGAAGAACGUGUGUGAGAGUGGAAAGUUCACACACUGACGGUAACUUACCAGAAAGGGACGGCUAACUACGUGCCAGCAGCCGCGGUAAUACGUAGGUCCCGAGCGUUGUCCGGAUUUAUUGGGCGUAAAGCGAGCGCAGGCGGUUUAAUAAGUCUGAAGUUAAAGGCAGUGGCUUAACCAUUGUUCGCUUUGGAAACUGUUAGACUUGAGUGCAGAAGGGGAGAGUGGAAUUCCAUGUGUAGCGGUGAAAUGCGUAGA
rnacentral:rRNA from 1 species